rnacentral:rRNA from 1 species
UAUGGGUUGUAAACUGCUUUUAUUUGGGAAUAAACCUCUUUACGUGUAGAGAGCUGAAGGUACCAAAUGAAUAAGCACCGGCUAACUCCGUGCCAGCAGCCGCGGUAAUACGGAGGGUGCAAGCGUUAUCCGGAAUCAUUGGGUUUAAAGGGUCCGCAGGCGGAUUUAUAAGUCAGUGGUGAAAUCCUAUCGCUUAACGAUAGAACUGCCAUUGAUACUGUAAGUCUUGAAUUCGGUCGAAGUGGGCGGAAUGUGUAGUGUAGCGGUGAAAUGCAUAGAUAUUACACAGAACACCGAUAGCGAAGGCAGCUCACUAGGCCUGAAUUGACGCUCAGGGACGAAAGCGUGGGGAUCAAACAGGAUUAGAUACCCUGGUAGUCCACGCUGUAAACGAUGAUUACUCGUUUUCGGCGAUAUACAGUCGGAGACUAAGCGAAAGUGAUAAGUAAUCCACCUGGGGAGUACGAUCGCAAGGUUGAAACUCAAAGGAAUUGAC